rnacentral:rRNA from 1 species
AUUGAACGCUGGCGGCAUGCCUUACACAUGCAAGUCGAACGGCAGCACGGGUGCUUGCACCUGGUGGCGAGUGGCGAACGGGUGAGUAAUAUAUCGGAACGUGCCUUAGAGUGGGGGAUAACUAGUCGAAAGAUUAGCUAAUACCGCAUACGAUCUACGGAUGAAAGUGGGGGAUCGCAAGACCUCAUGCUCUUAGAGCGGCCGAUAUCUGAUUAGCUAGUUGGUGGGGUAAAAGCCUACCAAGGCGACGAUCAGUAGCUGGUCUGAGAGGACGACCACCCACACUGGGAAUGAGACCCGGCCAAGACUCCUACGGGAGGCAGCAGUGGAGAAUUUUGGACAAUGGGGGCAACCCUGAUCCAGCAAUGCCGCGUGAGUGAAGAAGGCCUUCGGGUUGUAAAGCUCUUUUGUCAGGAAAGAAAUCCUAUUCGCUAAUACCGAGUGGGGAUGACGGUACCUGAAGAAUAAGCACCGGCUAACUACGUGCCAGCAGCCGCGGUAA